rnacentral:rRNA from 1 species
UACGAAGGGGGCUAGCGUUACUCGGAAUCACUGGGCGUAAAGCGCACGUAGGCGGAUCUUUAAGUCAGGGGUGAAAUCCUGGAGCUCAACUCCAGAACUGCCUUUGAUACUGGGGAUCUCGAGUCCGGAAGAGGUGAGUGGAACUCCGAGUGUAGAGGUGAAAUUCGUAGAUAUUCGGAAGAACACCAGUGGCGAAGGCGGCUCACUGGUCCGGUACUGACGCUGAGGUGCGAAAGCGUGGGGAGCAAACAGG